rnacentral:rRNA from 2 species
GGCUCAGAACGAACGCUGGCGGCCGGCCUAACACAUGCAAGUCGAGCGGCCGUAGCAAUACGGCAGCGGCAGACGGGAGAGUAACACGUGGGAACGCGCCCUUCGGUUCGGAAUAACUCAGGGAAACUUGGGCUAAUACCGGAUACGCCCUUACGGGGAAAGAUUUAUUGCCGAAGGAACGGCCCGCGUCCGAUUAGCUUGUUGGUGAGGUAACGGCUCACCAAGGCGACGAUCGGUAGCUGGUCUGAGAGGAUGACCAGCCUCACUGGGACUGAGACACGGCCCAGACUCCUACGGGAGGCAGCAGUGGG